UACGAAGGGGGCUAGCGUUGCUCGGAAUCACUGGGCGUCAAGGGUGCGUAGGCGGGUCUUUAAGUCAGGGGUGAAAUCCUGGAGCUCAACUCCAGAACUGCCUUUGAUACUGAAGAUCUUGAGUUCGGGAGAGGUGAGUGGAACUGCGAGUGUAGAGGUGAAAUUCGUAGAUAUUCGCAAGAACACCAGUGGCGAAGGCGGCUCACUGGCCCGAUACUGACGCUGAGGCACGAAAGCGUGGGGAGCAAACAGG
rnacentral:rRNA from 1 species